UUACAAUGGCGGCCACAGCGGGAAGCCAGGCGGCGACGCCGAGCGGAACCCGAAAAGCCGUCUCAGUUCGGAUUGGAGUCUGCAACCCGACUCCAUGAAGCUGGAUUCGCUAGUAAUCGCGCAUCAGCCACGGCGCGGUGAAUACGUUCCCGGGCCUUGUACACACCGCCCGUCAAGCCAUGGGAGCCGGGAGUGCCUGAAGUACGUGACCGCAAGGAGCGUCCUAGGGUAAGACCGGUGACUGGGGCUAAGUCGUAACAAGGUACC
rnacentral:rRNA from 1 species